rnacentral:rRNA from 1 species
AUUGAACGCUGGCGGCAGGCCUAACACAUGCAAGUCGAACGGUAACAGGAAGAAGCUUGCUUCUUUGCUGGCGAGUGGCGGACGGGUGAGUAAUGUCUGGGAAACUGCCUGAUGGAGGGGGAUAACUACUGGAAACGGUAGCUACUACCGCAUAACGUCGCAAGGCCAAAGAGGGGGACCUUCGGGCCUCUUGCCAUCGGAUGUGCCCAGAUGGGAUUAGCUAGUAGGUGGGGUAACGGCUCACCUAGGCGACGAUCCCUAGCUGGUCUGAGAGGAUGACCAGCCACACUGGAACUGAGACACGGUCCAGACUCCUACGGGAGGCAGCAGUGGGGAAUAUUGCACAAUGGGCGCAAGCCUGAUGCAGCCAUGCCGCGUGUAUGAAGAAGGCCUUCGGGUUGUAAAGUACUUUCAGCGGGGAGGAAGGGAGUAAAGUUAAUACCUUGGCUCAUUGACGUUACCCGCAGAAGAAGCACCGGCUAACUCCGUG